UCGGAAAGGUGUGUGGUGUUCCUUCUGG
rnacentral:piRNA from 1 species